rnacentral:rRNA from 1 species
UACGGAGGGUGCUAGCGUUGUUCGGAAUUACUGGGCGUAAAGAGCGCGUAGGCGGUCUAGUAAGUUGGGAGUGAAAGCCCGGGGCUUAACCUCGGAAUUGCUUCCAAAACUAUUAGUCUAGAGUGUAGUAGGGGAUGAUGGAAUUCCUAGUGUAGAGGUGAAAUUCUUAGAUAUUAGGAGGAACACCGGUGGCGAAGGCGAUCAUCUGGGCGGCAACUGACGCUGAGGCGCGAAAGCGUGGGGAGCAAACAGG